rnacentral:rRNA from 1 species
CGGGGGAGGCUACCAUGCAGUCGAGCGGAACGAGUUAUCUGAACCUUCGGGGAACGAUAACGGCGUCGAGCGGCGGACGGGUGAGUAAUGCCUAGGAAAUUGCCCUGAUGUGGGGGAUAACCAUUGGAAACGAUGGCUAAUACCGCAUAAUGCCUACGGGCCAAAGAGGGGGACCUUCGGGCCUCUCGCGUCAGGAUAUGCCUAGGUGGGAUUAGCUAGUUGGUGAGGUAAUGGCUCACCAAGGCGACGAUCCCUAGCUGGUCUGAGAGGAUGAUCAGCCACACUGGAACUGAGACACGGUCCAGACUCCUACGGGAGGCAGCAGUGGGGAAUAUUGCACAAUGGGCGCAAGCCUGAUGCAGCCAUGCCGCGUGUGUGAAGAAGGCCUUCGGGUUGUAAAGCACUUUCAGUCGUGAGGAAGGUGGUGUAGUUAAUAGCUGCAUUAUUUGACGUUAGCGACAGAAGAAGCACCGGCUAACUCCGUGCCAGCAGCCGCGGUAAUACGGAGGGUGCGAGCGUUAAUCGGAAUUACUGGGCGUAAAGCGCAUGCAGGUGGUUUGUUAAGUCAGAUGUGAAAGCCCGGGGCUCAACCUCGGAAUAGCAUUUGAAACUGGCAGACUAGAGUACUGUAGAGGGGGGUAGAAUUUCAGGUGUAGCGGUGAAAUGCGUAGAGAUCUGAAGGAAUACCGGUGGCGAAGGCGGCCCCCUGGACAGAUACUGACACUCAGAUGCGAAAGCGUGGGGAGCAAACAGGAUUAGAUACCCUGGUAGUCCACGCCGUAAACGAUGUCUACUUGGAGGUUGUGGCCUUGAGCCGUGGCUUUCGGAGCUAACGCGUUAAGUAGACCGCCUGGGGAGUACGGUCGCAAGAUUAAAACUCAAAUGAAUUGACGGGGGCC